rnacentral:tRNA from 1 species
GGUGGCACAGUGGUUAAGUGCUUGGCUGCUAACCAAGAGGUUGGUGGUUCGAACCCACCAGCCA